AAUUAGACCAUAAAAAUAUUAAGCAAACUUUAAUCAAAUUCAAAGAAAACUCAAAGGAAUUACAAAGAAACAAUAAGAAAUCUUAAAAAAAUAUUAGAAUGAUCACAAUAUAUCUCAAAUACAUCUCAAUUCAAUCUUAAUUUAAUCCUAGUUAAAAUCCUAUUGAACUUCAUUAAAACUUUAGGCCAAAAACUAAUUAAAUCUUAAAUCCUAAAGAAACUCUAAUAAAAUCCUAAAUCCUAAAUCAAAUCCUAAUCAAAUCCUAAACUCUAAAUCAACUCCUAACCAAAUCUUAAUCCUAAAUCAAAUCCUAACCAAAUUCUAAAUCCUAAAUCAAAUCCUAAAUCCUAAACCAAAUCCUAACUAAAUCUUAACCCCUAAACCGACCUAAAUCAAAUCCUAAAUCCUAAAUCAAAUCCUAACCAAACUCUAAAUCCUAAAUCAAACUCUAAUCAAAUCCUAAUCAAAUCCUAAUAAUUCCUACAACAAAUUUAAACCUCAAUAAUUAAUAAAUGAAUCAUUGAUCUUAACUCAAAUUUUGCAUAAUUCUUAGUAAUUAAGUUGAAAAUAAGCACAAAAAAU
rnacentral:lncRNA from 1 species